UACAGAGGUCUCAAGCGUUGUUCGGAUUCAUUGGGCGUAGAGGGUGCGUAGGCGGCGCGGUAAGUCGGGUGUGAAAUCUUGGAGCUUAACUCCGAAACUGCAUUCGAUACUGCCGUGCUUGAGGACUGGAGAGGAGACUGGAAUUUACGGUGUAGCGGUGAAAUGCGUAGAUAUCGUAAGGAAGACCAGUGGCGAAGGCGGGUCUCUGGACAGUUCCUGACGCUGAGGCACGAAGGCCAGGGGAGCAAACGGG
rnacentral:rRNA from 1 species